UACGUAGGGUGCGAGCGUUAAUCGGAAUUACUGGGCGUAAAGCGUGCGCAGGCGGUUUUGUAAGACAGGGGUGAAAUCCCCGGGCUUAACCUGGGAACUGCGCUUGUGACUGCAAGACUCGAGUAUGGCAGAGGGGGGUAGAAUUCCACGUGUAGCAGUGAAAUGCGUAGAGAUGUGGAGGAAUACCGAUGGCGAAGGCAGCCCCCUGGGCCAAUACUGACGCUCAUGCACGAAAGCGUGGGGAGCGAACAGG
rnacentral:rRNA from 1 species